rnacentral:rRNA from 1 species
UACGUAGGGGGCAAGCGUUGUCCGGAUUUAUUGGGCGUAAAGAGCGUGUAGGCGGCCAAGCAGGUCCGCUGUGAAAACUCGAGGCUCAACCUCGAGAGGUCGGUGGAAACCGUUUGGCUAGAGUCCGGAAGAGGAGAGUGGAAUUCCCGGUGUAGCGGUGAAAUGCGCAGAUAUCGGGAAGAACACCCGUGGCGAAGGCGGCUCUCUGGGACGGUACUGACGCUGAGACGGCGGAAAGCGUGGGGAGCGAACAGG